rnacentral:rRNA from 1 species
AUACGGAGGGUGCAAGCGUUACUCGGAAUCACUGGGCGUAAAGCGCGCGCAGGCGGCUUGAUAAGUUGGAUGUGAAAGCCUACGGCUCAACCGUAGAACUGCAUCCAAAACUGUCAAGCUAGAGUCUGGGAGGGGAAGAUGGAAUUAGUUGUGUAGGGGUAAAAUCCGUAGAGAUAACUAGGAAUACCAAAAGCGAAGGCGAUCUCCUGGAACAGUACUGACGCUGAGGCGCGAAAGCGUGGGGAGCAAACAGGAGUAGAAACCCCAGUAGUCC